CAAUAGCGUAUAUUUAAGUUGUUGCAGUUAAAAAGCUCGUAGUUGGAUUUCGGAUGGGAUUUGCCGGUCCGUCGUUACGAUGUGCACUGGCCAGUCCUAUCUUGUUGUCGGGGACUAGCUCCUUGGAUUCACUUCCUGGGACUAGGAGCUGACGAGGUUACUUUGAGUAAAUUAGAGUGUUCAAAGCAAGCCUACGCUCUGAAUACAUUAGCAUGGAAUAACACGAUAGGACUCUGGCUUAUCUUGUUGGUCUGUGAGACCAGAGUAAUGAUUAAGAGGGACAGUCGGGGACAUUCGUAUUUCAUUGUCAGAGGUGAGAUUCUUGGAUUUAUGAAAGACGAACUUCUGCGAAAGCAUUUGUCAAGGAUGUUUNCAUUAA
rnacentral:rRNA from 1 species